rnacentral:rRNA from 1 species
CCUACGGGUGGCAGCAGUGGGGAAUAUUGCACAAUGGGCGCAAGCCUGAUGCAGCCAUGCCGCGUGUGUGAAGAAGGCCUUCGGGUUGUAAAGCACUUUCAGCGGGGAGGGAGGCGGUGAGGUUAAUAACCUCAUCGAUUGACGUUACCCGCAGAAGAAGCACCGGCUAACUCCGUGCCAGCAGCCGCGGUAAUACGGAGGGUGCAAGCGUUAAUCGGAAUUACUGGGCGUAAAGCGCACGCAGGCGGUCUGUCAAGUCGGAUGUGAAAUCCCCGGGCUCAACCUGGGAACUGCAUUCGAAACUAGCAGGCUAGAGUCGUGUAGAGGGGGGUAGAAUUCCAGGUGUAGCGGUGAAAUGCGUAGAGAUCUGGAGGAAUACCGGUGGCGAAGGCGGCCCCCUGGACAAAGACUGACGCUCAGGUGCGAAAGCGUGGGGAGCAAACAGGAUUAGAUACCCCGGUAGUC